rnacentral:snRNA from 1 species
GUCUUAUUGGAGACAUACAAUAAAAUUGGAACGAUACAGAAAAUAUUAGAUUAGCAUAGCUCCUGCGCAAGGAUAUGACACGCACAAAUGGAGAAAUGGUUCAAAUGUUU